AGCGAACGCUGGCGGCGUGCCUAACACAUGCAAGUCGAACGUGAAAAGGGGCAACCCUUAGUAAAGUGGCGUACGGGUGAGUAAUGCAUAGAUAAUCUACCUGAAAGUCCGGAAUAACCUGCCGAAAGGCGGGCUAAUACCAGAUAGAGCGACGGGGGUCGUAAAGACCUUCUCGGGAAAGGGAGCUCGUAAGAGCCUUCGCUUUCGGAUGAGUCUAUGCCCCAUCAGCUAGUUGGUAAGGUAAUGGCUUACCAAGGCUAUGACGGGUAGCUGGUCUGAGAGGAUGAUCAGCCACACUGGGACUGAAACACGGCCCAGACUCCUACGGGAGGCAGCAGGUGGGGAAUAUUGCGCAAUGGACGAAAGUCUGACGCAGCGACGCCGUGUGAGUGAAGAAGGCCUUCGGGUUGUAAAGCUCUGUCGAGUGGGAAGAAAACCUUUUAGGUUAAUAGCCUAAGAGCUUGACGGUACCACGAGAGGAAGCACCGGCUAACUCCGUG
rnacentral:rRNA from 1 species